rnacentral:tRNA from 2 species
GCCGGUGUGUUGGAAUUGGCAGACGAGACAGACUCAAACUCUGUUGUCCAUCUGGGCGUGUGGGUUCGAGUCCCACCACCGGCACCA